rnacentral:lncRNA from 1 species
UGCUUCUUUUUGGUCUUUUUUUGCUGAGUGCCUUGGAUGUGGAAACAAGCAAAGAUGAUUUGAACAAACAACCAAGGAGAUUAAAAUCAGACUACCAUGGCUAUUAUCAACAUGGCUAUUAUCCCUCUGUGGCAGAUGUCACUGCAGUUUUUAGCUCAAAGCAUGAAUGUGAGUCCAUUCCAGUUCUUCGUUGCUGUAAGAUGUGCAGCUGAAAAUGGAACUUCAGGAGCUAACUGGUAAGGAUUAAGAUUGCAAAGCCAUUGCAAGGGUGACCACACUGAGAUGAAAAUGGAAUUUCUCAAACAAUUGAUGGCAACGAUUUAUAUCCCAGGGAAACAGCUAACAAGUCCAUAUAAACUUCAUACAUAACUACUCUCCUGUAAAAGGAAUUAACUGCUACAACACCAGAAAAUGUACAAUUAAUAAAUGAACAACUGAAGGCUAAGUUGUAUCCUGACAUUCUAAUACCCUCCACAUCUUCUUUAAGAGAUUCCUUGGGGUACUUCCAGCAAAGAGGAAUUCUUGACAGUAGAGGAAAAUGAAGCUAAAGAGCUGUCAGCCUGUGUAACUGCGAACCCAGCUGACCUGAAGAAUUUGAUACAUAGCUACAAAAUGCUUUCAUGAUCCCAAAAGACAAGAUGAAAUAUUACAGGAUUUAUUGUCAGAAAGAUCAGGUCCCUGAUCAUUUCGACGGUGAGCACUAGCACUGGCAGGCACAUGGGACAUGGGACACAGGAAAAAGCAGGGAUUUGGUAUUUUUGGUAUUAAACUGGUCUCUGUGGUGUGGCACACCCACUGUACAUCAGCAAGUGGGGAGGCUGAAUUCCUCUUAAGUGUUAAGGCAGGAGAAGAACCUGCCAGAGGAACUCUGUUAUAGGGAAGAGGAAGCUCUGGCUGGGCAUCAAACAGGUGAGGUGGUCAGAGUUCAUUUAAAAUUGAAAUCAGCAGCAACAAUUAAAACUGAGGACAAUGAACUAGGAGAAUAUAUGCUUUAUAUACAUACUUUACGUAAUUUACAGUGAUGCAGUUAUUUUCCUUUGCCAAAACAGCAGCAUUAAAUCCUCUAUGAAAAUGAAAAAUCCUCUAUGAACGAAGCCGCAUGACAGAGUAGGUAACAACAUGGGAUUUGAGGCUGCCAUUAUCUUCAGGUCAUCAGAAACAUAUGAUAACUUAUUGCCAAGAUAACAAUAUUUUUCAUUUCACUGUCAUUUCUGCUCUUGUCUCUGAGAUGUGACAUAGGUCAGUGAGUCUGAGCUCAGAGCAGAAGCCAAAAAUUUUCAAUUCUUACACCUCUGGAAAUGCUAUCUGUGGCUGCUUUAGGCAUUGAUCUGAAAAUAUUCCAUGAUUUUUACCUUCAUUAGAGAAGUGUUCUAAAAACUAAUGCUUCUGGAAGAAUUCUGGAAAUACAAAAACUGACAGUGACUUAAAUAUUCUCAUUUCUAGCGUGCUUGUAACAUACAAAUUGGAAGUAUUGUAUUGGAAGGCCAAAAUUAUGUUAUAUUCUGUGUUGUUUUUAUAAACAAAUUUUGAGCUACUAUUGACAUUUAAAUCGCUCAUAAAAAGACCCUAAUGAUAAAAUAAGCCAUUUCUGCAUUUCCAGACAAUGUAUACAGAGAAAAAUUCAUUCUUAACAAAGUUCUUACAAACUACAUCCUAACUCAUGUUUCUUUCAUGAUACAGAUAUGAAGCUAAAUUGUGGAGCUAUGGCCUUUUUUUGUUGUUGCCAUUUCUCAUUUUUUUUUGAAAACCAUCACCUAUCCACCAUACUAAAUAGAUUCCUUUCCACUGUGCUGACAGCUGUUUCCCAGGUAACCAACAUAGCUAGAAGUUGACUUCAAGCAGUGCCAGGGAGCCAGCACUCACACCCCUACAAUUACAUGUUUGGAGGAGAGCUCUGUAACUGCUGCAGUGUCCCCAGUGCCCCCGGCAGCCAACAGGAGCUGGGAGCAUCCAGCAGGUACUGGAAUAAAGCUCAUCAGCAGUCAAAAAAUACCCGCUAAGGGCUAUUUUACAUACAGAAUAGUAAAUGCCAUCGGAAGUUGGAAAUUAAAAUUAUUCUCAGUGGUAAAUCAGCAGGAUUAGACUUCACACGAGCUGUCACCUUUCACAGGUUCAGUUUGCUUCUUCCCUUUGCCAUAAGAGAAUAGGGAGAAAAGCAGCAGGUAUUUUGCUGCUUCUUUCCAUAAUCAGGAAUAGUUUCUGAAUGCAUCUGUUUAAUACACCUUACUUUAUAAAUCAGAGCUCAUCUGCUGUCAGUCAGUAGUCCCCCGGAUUUCAUAGUCGCUGUGAUACACAUAAUUCUAAUUCCAGUCAUUUUUUGUCCAGCUGUCUUUUGCUAAUUGUAAACUGGAUUACUCUGUAAGGCACUGGCUACACUUAAGGUUAUUUCUCCCAGCUCUUUGUUAGCCUGGGUUCGGUUGGAUGCUUACUUUUUAGGUCUGUGCCAUCUGACAGUGUAAGUAUAGGGUGUUGAUUGAUUUCUUGUUCUGUUAUUUUGUUGUUUGGUUGGUUUUGUUUUUUUGUACGAUAAUGAAAAAGAUGCAUCUUUGGGAAAUUCAACGUUAGAUGUAAGUAGGAAGUAUUACUGGUCAUCCAGUGCCUAAUAAUGUCUGUUAUAGAAAAGCCAUUGGGCUUAGGCAGGUUAAUUUUUGUGAGCAGAAGAAUAAGUUUCUAUCCUAUCCUAUCCUAUCCUAUCCUAUCCUAUCCUAUCCUAUCCUAUCCUAUCCUAUCCUAUCCUAUCC